UCACACUGUCCGGUAGUGAACGCCUUUAUAAGCCAUUGGAAUGACUAUAAAGUUACAGGCCCCUGUGCAGUGCCAAUGCCUUCUCUAAUUUUCUUUCUUCAGCAGUACUCUUCCUCAAUCGCCACUUUUUCCAACCAAUUGUCGUGCGAUGAUCCAUGCGUCUGCUCUGCCGUGAUACAGUUUCUAUAAACGGCACGAUGAUUACCUGGCAUAUUGUUCUCAAUUUGGCAUACGAUGAUGAUCAAAACAUUACUGCAUCCACCACCCAAAUGCCUCUGUCAAUAUGGGCUGGAGGCACUCAAUAUUCCACCCAUUAAUGGCAAGUGUUCCAAAAAACUAUUUAAACUAUUUAAUAUAGUUCUCCAUCAAUUUGUUGUUGGGAGAACCUAUUUUAGGAAAACUCAUGUUGGAAACUACUACAAAAGGGAAUCUCUAACAAAGAAAAAGAUUGAUACAUCGAGGUGAGCAAAUUAUAUUGCAAUAAAAGUGUCAUUGCCUAGUGAGUAUGACCACGUGAUCCAAAUAGGAUUUACAAUAUCUAUACUUAAAAUGAUUAUGCUUAUUACAUUGCUAAUUCUGGUGAAGAAUACUUCCCAUUUUAUAAUAUUGGCCAUGAGUAGCAUAAUACUCAUUUUCUAUUUGUUUGGUGUUUGACUAUUUUCUAUAUAGAAGUGACAAUGAUAAAAGUACUAUGACAUUGAUAUUUUGAAUAAUGACAAUUAUGAAACAAACUUAUAAUGAACCUAUAUUCUUGUAAUCUAUUA